GUGAGGAAUAUUGCGCAAUGGCCGAAAGGCUGACGCAGCGACGCCGCGUGAAGGAUGAAGUCCGUUAGGAUGUAAACUUCUUUUGCAGGGGAUGAAUGUUCCGGUUUCCGGAAUUGACCGUACCUUGCGAAUAAGGAUCGGCUAACUACGUGCCAGCAGCCGCGGUAAUACGUAGGAUCCGAGCGUUGUCCGGAUUUACUGGGUGUAAAGGGCGUGUAGGUGGGUUCCUAAGUCGGUGGUGAAAUCUUGCAGCUCAACUGCAAAACUGCCAUCGAUACUGGGGAUCUUGAGUACGGCAGAGGGAGAUGGAAUUCAUGGUGUAGCGGUGAAAUGUGUAGAUAUCAUGAAGAACACCGGUAGCGAAGGCGGUCUCCUGGUCCGUAACUGACACUGAGGCGCGAAAGCGUGGGGAGCAAACAGGAUUAGAAACCCGAGUAGUCC
rnacentral:rRNA from 1 species